AUGCAGAAGGAGACAACGACCUGCACAGCACAACAAAACUACAAAUCACCACAGAGCUGCAGACCAGCAACGAAGGGAGCUGAGGGCAAUUUGACCAACAUCAUCUGUGUCGGUUCCCCAGAUGUCAAUGAAACACGUAAUCGGGUCUCCAAGACCACAAGCCUCAGAAGAUCACUGUGGAAGAAACACACUGGGCCAACCCAUCCUGUUGAUAUGACACAAAGUGCAGCCCAGUUUGGUAUUCUUUAAACUCUGAAGGAGUCUCACACCAG
rnacentral:lncRNA from 1 species